rnacentral:rRNA from 1 species
AUUGAACGCUGGCGGCAGGCCUAACACAUGCAAGUCGAGCGGAAGAAGGGAGCUUGCUCCUGGAUUCAGCGGCGGACGGGUGAGUAAUGCCUAUGAAUCUGCCUGGUAGUGGGGGAUAACGUCCGGAAACGGGCGCUAAUACUGCAUACGUCCAGAGGGAGAAAGUGGGGGGUCUUCGGACCUCAUGCCAUCUGAGGAGCCUAGGUCGGAUUAGCUAGUUGGUGGGGUAAAGGCCUACCAAGGCGACGAUCCGUAACUGGUCUGAGAGGAUGAUCAGUCACACUGGAAGUGAGACACGGUCCAGACUCCUACGGGAGGCAGCAGUGGGGAAUAUUGGACAAAGGGCGAAAGCCUGAUCCAGCCAUGCCGCGUGUGUGAAGAAGGUCUUCGGAUUGUAAAGCACUUUAAGUUGGGAGGAAGGGCAGUAAGUUAAUACCUUGCUGUUUUGACGUUACCAACAGAAUAAGCACCGGCUAACUUCGUG